ACGACCAAAGUUUCCUUAUUAAUGUUGUACUCGAAGAUGAUCAGAUUAUGGCAACAUUAUGGAGCGAACUUGUGGAUCAAAUUCAACAUCACUUGAAUGAAUCUGCCGAUGAGCCUUUGAUUGUUGUUUUCUAGCAUAUGAAACCUCAAAAAUAUCGAGGUUUACCAUAAAUUACAUGUAUUUUUUUAUUUUACUGUAUAAAUAAUUUUAAAUUUCAAAUUUUUAUUCAUAUUUCAUUUGACACACAGGUAAUUACUCAGUGCGUAGCUGUUGGUAUCAGACAAAGAUACGUUGCCGCAGUCUAUUGAAUUUAAAUCCAGAUUACUUGCAGCACGUCAAUCAAACAUUGAGCGAAUCACUC